AGCCUGUUUUCCCCACUCUUGUCAUUUUAAGUCAAUAGAUUUCCCGGGUUUCUUCCCCCGCCCCUCCACUUUGCCUUUUCAGGGGAUAGGCAUCUCCUUAGAUUUUUGUUUUCCUUCAAUUAGGGUCAGCUUUAUGAUUCGUUCUUCCGCUGUCAUCCUUUUUCAUCCUAUUCACAGCCUGUACCGGUGAGGGAAUUUGUCUCAAAAGCAUUCAGCCCUUCAAAGAUUUUUAUUGUGGUGAACUCAGAACUGAUCAACAGAAAAACAGAAACAGCAAAAGGGAACUGAUAUGGGGGCGAUCUUGAUGCGGGUUGCGUCUCUCAUGCAUGAUAACUCAGAGGACAGGCUCCUCGGUAGUGCGGUAGUGCUAGCUCUGUGAAGUUUCUUCACUCUCCUUCCUAGCCCUGGAGGCGGGGUGAUUCAUAGCUCCUGUUCCAAAGGCAUUCAGCAGCCAUUCGACCUGGGAAAGAAACAGAGUUUUAGAAAAUACAGGCCAAAUGUAGAGACGCCUGUGAUUACCAGGAUGAGUAUGUCAGUGCAGGUGGCUUCUGAGUUUCUGUUUCUGAGUUUGUUUGGCUGAUGCCUAAGGAAAGGGGUCCCUUACAGCCCUGUUUUAUACCUUAGUUCUUGGUGGCAACGUGGGUGUUGCUGAUCUCUCUGAUGUGUUUUUCUGUGCAUUGAAAACACCAGACAUGCUCCGUGACAUCCUCGGAGCAUCUCCCAUCAUAAUGGAGUGUUCCUAACCUGACAAAGAAUAGCAUAUUACCUCCCCAUCUACUCAAAAUAAAAUUAUAGUAAAAUUUA
rnacentral:lncRNA from 1 species